AGCGAACGCUGGCGGCAGGCCUAACACAUGCAAGUCGAACGGAUCCUUCGGGAUUAGUGGCGGACGGGUGAGUAACACGUGGGAACGUGCCCUUUGGUUCGGAACAACUCAGGGAAACUUGAGCUAAUACCGGAUGCGCCCUUCGGGGGAAAGAUUUAUCGCCAUUGGAGCGGCCCGCGUCUGAUUAGCUAGUUGGUGAGGUAAAGGCUCACCAAGGCGACGAUCAGUAGCUGGUCUGAGAGGAUGAUCAGCAACAUUGGGACUGAGACACGGCCCAAACUCCUACGGGAGGCAGCAGUGGGGAAUCUUGCGCAAUGGGCGAAAGCCUGACGCAGCCAUGCCGCGUGAAUGAUGAAGGUCUUAGGAUUGUAAAAUUCUUUCACCGGGGACGAUAAUGACGGUACCCGGAGAAGAAGCCCCGGCUAACUUCGUGCCAGCCGCCGCAGUAA
rnacentral:rRNA from 1 species